rnacentral:rRNA from 1 species
UACGUAGGGUGCGAGCGUUAAUCGGAAUUACUGGGCGUAAAGCGUGCGCAGGCGGUGAUGUAAGACAGAUGUGAAAUCCCCCGGGCUCAACCUGGGAACUGCAUUUGUGACUGCAUCGCUGGAGUGCGGCAGAGGGGGAUGGAAUUCCGCGUGUAGCAGUGAAAUGCGUAGAUAUGCGGAGGAACACCGAUGGCGAAGGCAAUCCCCUGGGCCUGCACUGACGCUCAUGCACGAAAGCGUGGGAGCAA